AGUAUGUGGUUUAAUUCGACGCAACGCGAAGAACCUUACCAGGAUUUGUACAUCCUCUGACCGCCCUGGAGACAGGGUUUCCCUUCGGGGUCGAGAGAGACAGGUGGUGCAUGGUUGUCGUCAGCUCGUGUCGUGAGAUGUUGGGUUAAGUCCCGCAACGAGCGCAACCCUUAUUGCCAGUUACCAUCAUUUAGUUGGGGACUCUGGCGAGACUGCCGUGGAUAACACGGAGGAAGGUGGGGACGACGUCAAAUCAUCAUGCCCCUUAUGUCCUGGGCUACACACGUACUACAAUGGCAACAACAACGAGCAGCAAGUCCGCGAGGCCAAGCGAAUCUCCAAAUGUUGUCCCAGUUCAGAUUGCAGGCUGCAACUCGCCUGCAUGAAGUCGGAAUUGCUAGUAAUGGCAGGUCAGCAUACUGCCGUGAAUACGUUCCCGGGCCUU
rnacentral:rRNA from 1 species